GUGGAGCUUAGACAAUGGUAACUGGAGUGGGAACAACAAUAGAAUCCAUCCUUGGGCAAGGUGAAUUAGUUUAUUGCCUAAUUCACAAAGCAUUGACAACCCCUAUCAAGAGGUUCCUUUGCCGAGUUCACACCAACAGGAGACCUUGUGGCCGUUUCUUCUCCCUGUGUGGUUAAUGUGUCAGUGAAACUAAAUGUGUGCAUGAGACGAAGCGUAGUUGUCUUUUUUACAGCUGUGAGGCUAAGGUCAGAUCUUCCAUCCUGAAGCCAGUCCGUGUCACCGCUCAGGGCAAAGGAAAUGAGGUGGUGUGGUCACGGUGGUCCAUCCCACCUGCCGCCUGUGACAGAGGGCGUCAACAACCACAGAGCAGCCCCCGGGCCCCGUCUGAUUCCACAGGAAAACAAAGAGCUGCUGCUCUGG